AUUGAACGCUGGCGGCAGGCCUAACACAUGCAAGUCGAGCGGUAGAGAGGUGCUUGCAUCUCUUGAGAGCGGCGGACGGGUGAGUAAUGCCUAGGAAUCUGCCUAGUGGUGGGGGAUAACGUUCGGAAACGGACGCUAAUACCGCAUACGUCCUACGGGAGAAAGCGGGGGGAUCUUCGGACCUCGCGCCAUUAGAUGAGCCUAGGUCGGAUUAGCUAGUUGGUGAGGUAAUGGCUCACCAAGGCGACGAUCCGUAACUGGUCUGAGAGGAUGAUCAGUCACACUGGAACUGAGACACGGUCCAGACUCCUACGGGAGGCAGCAGUGGGGAAUAUUGGACAAUGGGCGAAAGCCUGAUCAGCCAUGCCGCGUGUGUGAAGAAGGUCUUCGGAUUGUAAAGCACUUUAAGUUGGGAGGAAGGGUAGUAACCUAAUACGUUGCUACUUUGACGUUACCGACAGAAUAAGCACCGGCUAACUUCGUGCCAGCAC
rnacentral:rRNA from 1 species